rnacentral:rRNA from 1 species
GCGAGCGAAAGGGAAGAGCCCAGCGCCGAAUCCCCCGCCCUCGGCGGUGGGAAAUGUGGCGUUCAGGAGUGAGCGUGCCGGGUUCGGCCUGGACAGCAAGUCCCCCUGACCGGGGCCUAUCCAGAGCGGGUGCGAGGCCCAUAGCUGCCCGUUCCGUCUCGGAUGCGAUCUCCUUGGAGUCGGGUUGCUUGGGAGUGCAGCCCUAAUCAGGUGGUAAACUCCACCUAAGGCUAAAUACCGCCGUGAGACCGAUAGCAAACAAGUACCGUGAGGGAAAGUUGCAAAGAACUUUGAAGAGAGAGUUCAAGAGUACGUGAAACUGCUCAGAGGUAAACGGGUGGGCCCUCGAAAUCCUGUGGCGAGAGGAUUCAGUCUGGAUCGGCGGACGUGAAGGGUCGGAAGAUCAGGAAGGGCUUCCCGUGAGGGGCCGUCCGACCGCACGCAUUCCGUCGUGCCCGACGCAUUUGUCUCUCGUCCUAAGGACGCUGCAGCCGGUCGGGCAGAGCAAGCGCGACGGCCUGAAGGGCAGGAGAUGGCAGGUGGCCGGUGGCGCGCCUUGUUCGCGUCGCCAGUUGUUAGCCGUCCUGCCAGUGGCCCGUCGCCCGACCGAGGUGUCACCAGGCCCGCAAGGGCCAGCGCGUCUCCUCUCCAGCAGAUGCGGGCCGUUCCGCGGCAGGCGUCGGCCGUCUUUCCGUCGCACUCCUCCGGAGUGGGCGGGCAGGCGUAAGGCGUCGUUCGCUGCGGAGGCCCCGUCGGAGAUCGGGGGCUGGCAGCGAGUAGGUCGGUCACCCACCCGACCCGUCUUGAAACACGGACCAAGGAGUCUAACAUGUGCGCGAGUCAAUGGGUCUUGAACAGGCCCAGGGGCGCAAUGAAAGCAAAGGUCGGCUACACGCCGACCGAGUUGGGAUCCCCUCUUCGGGGGGGCGCACCAACGACCCGUCCUAUCCGGUCCGCCGGUUGGGCGGAGUGUGAGCGUACACGUUGGGACCCGAAAGAUGGUGAACUAUGCCCGGACAGGACGAAGCCAGAGGAAACUC